CAGCAGCCACGGUAAUACGAAGGGUGCAAGCGUUAAUCGGAAUUACUGGGCGUAAAGCGUGCGUAGGUGGUGGUUUAAGUCCGUUGUGAAAGCCCUGGGCUCAACCUGGGAAUUGCAGUGGAUACUGGGUCACUAGAGUGUUGUAGAGGAUAGUGGAAUUUCCGGUGUAGCAGUGAAAUGCGUAGAGAUCGGAAGGAACAUCUGUGGCGAAGGCGACUAUCUGGGCCAACACUGACACUGAGGCACGAAAGCGUGGGGAGCAAACAGGAUUAGAUACCCCCGUAGUCCCUGUCUCUUAUAC
rnacentral:rRNA from 1 species